rnacentral:lncRNA from 1 species
AACCACUCCUAAGGUCUUGAAAGCCUUCUCUGUCUCCGCCAACCAGUACUGGGCAUCUUCGAAAGAGGAUUCCCCUGCAAAAGUGAAAGAGUUCAGUCUUUUGUACCUCUCCACAUAGCCCAGGUCAAUCAGGGAAGGAGCUGGGUCCCGUGAAAAAGGGACUGGGCCGGGCUGAGGAUAGACUAAGGGGCCCUAUGGUGGCACCUGCUGAUAUAAUGGGGGCACUGGAUUGUACUGUGGCGGUGUCGGGUAG